CUAGUCUUCCCAGUUAUGCCCUAUUUACUCCUCCCCUUGGCCCUGUGUUACUGGUUAUUCCUUAACGCAUUUGUCCCUCGUUUAGCUUAGUAAUGGGACGACCAAUGCAUUAUGUUUCGUGCUCGGGCUGGGCCUUGUUAGGGCGAGGUCUUCCCUCAGGUGAUUUAUUCUCGUCUAGACCUUUAGUGUUCCCAUCCACCUCCCGAACAGCUUCCCAGCCUCUCCCGCUAUCAAACGGUACAUUACCCAAUCGGUGUGUCAUAGUUCGUGCUAGUAACUGUUAUUACAAGGCGUGGUACUGUGGUGGUUAAUGUCGGUCUACGGUCUCUUAAGUUUUCUUAUCUUCUCUUGGUUUUCUUCCACUCCAG